GACCCCGCAGCGUCGUGGCUAGAGUAGGGUCUGGAGAGAGCUCCCACUGUGGCGAGUCCUGUCGUUGGAUUCCCGCGGCGCCCCGUAAGGCUCCGCCCCGGCGGUGCUACCAAACCCUGUUCGAUUUUAGAAUCGUACAUUCCCAGAGGGAAUCCUAGACCCCUCAUUUUACAGUUGAGGAAACAGGCCCAAGUAGCAUGACUUGUUCGCGCCGCUAGUCGAAGGAGCAGCAGCCCCGAUCCCUUGACUCUGGGGCACUGCUUUCCCUUUAGCUCAUUUUUGGAGGAAAUGGGUGCGCCCUUGCUCGACCUUUGGUGAUUGCCGCCACAGGCCUUCCCGCCGGCUAACUCAGCGUGCCCAAGUCCCGUGACUUAGUGCCAGGACGGUGCUGUGACCCGUUAUCCCCUGUCGGGUUUUACCUCCCCCCGGGAGAGCUCAGCCCUGGAUCCCGGCGGGCGGCGGAGCCUCUCUGGAGCCCGGACGGGACAGCCCACCAGGGUCUGCUUCUGUGAGGGGCCGAGGCGUCAUUCCGCGAAGCCUUCUCCUUGCUGUUGCCAUGUGAAGAAGGAUGUGUUUGCUUCCCCUUCUGCCAUGAUUGCUCUUCAUUCGAUGUACAAAAACCACAAGAUUAUCUAAAUAGAUGCAGAAAAGGCCUUCGAUAAAAAUCCUCAUUCCUUCAUGUUAAAAACUCUCAAUAAACUAGGUAUUGAAGGAACAUACCUCAAAAUAAUAAGAGCCAUUUAUGACAAACUCACAGCCAGUGUCCUUACUGAAUGGGCAAAAGCUGAAAGCAUUCCCCUUGAAAACCAGCACAAGACAAGUUUGCCCUCUCUCCCAACCCCUAUUCAAUAUAGUAUUGGAAGUUAUGGCCACGGCAAUCGGGCAAGAGAAAAAAAUGAAGAGUAUUUAAAUGGGAAAAGAGGAAGUCAAACUAUCUUUUUUUGCAGGUGACAUAAUCCUAUAUCUAGAAAACCCAUUGUCUCAACCCAAAAGCUUCUUAAGCUGAUAAGCAACUUCAGCAAAGUCUCAGGAUAAAAAAUCAAAGUGCAAAAAUUGCUAUACACCAACAACAGGCAAGCCAAGAGCCAAAUCAUGAAUGAGCUUUGAUUCACAAUUGCUACAAAAAGAACAAAAUACCUAGGAAUACAGCUAACAAGGGAAGUGAAGGACCUCUUCAAGGAGAACUACAAAGCACUGCUCAAAGAAAUCAGAGAUGAUGCAAACAAAUGGAAAAACGUUCCAUGCUCAUGGAUAGGAAGAAUCAAUAUUAUGUAAAUGGUCAUACUGCCCAAAGCAACUUAUAAAUUCAAUGUUAUUCCCAUUAAAUUACCACUGACAUUCUUCACAUAAUUAGAAAAAACUAUUUUGAAAUUUAUAUGGAACCAAAAAAGAGCCUGAAUACUGAAAGCAAUCCUUAGCAAAAAGAACAAAGGUGGAGGCAUCAGGCUAGCUGACUUCAAACUAUACGAUAGGGCUACAGUAACCAAAAUAGCACGGUACUGGUACAAAAACAGAGACAUAGACCAAUGGAAAAGAAUAGAGAAUACAGAAAUAAGACUGCACACCUACAACUGUCUCAUCUUUGACAAACCUGACAAAAACAAGCAAUGGAGAAAGGAUUCCCUAUUUAAUAAAUGGUGCUGGGAGAACUAGCUAGCCAUAUGCAGGAUAUUGAAACUGGCACCUUCCUUACGCCUUACACAAAAAUCAACUCAAGAUGGAUUAAAGACUUACAUGUAAAACCCCAAACUAUAAAAACACUAGAAGAAAACCUGGGCAAUACCAUUUAGGAUAUAGGCAUUGGCAAAGAUUUCAUGAUGAAAACACUAAAAGCAAUUGCAACAAAAGCAAAAAUUAGCAAAUGGGUCUAAUUAAACUAAAGAGCUUCUGCACAGCAAAAGGAACUAUUAACAGAGUAAACAGACAACCUACAGAACGGGCGAAAAUUGUUGCAAUCUAUGUAUCUGACAAAGCCCUAAUAUCCAGAAUCUAUAAGGAACUUAAACAAAUUUACAAAAAAAAGCAACCCCAUUAAAAAGUGGGCAAAGGACAUGAACAGACACUUCUCAAAAGAAGACAUACAUGUGGCUAACAAACAUGAAAAAAGCCUUCACAUCACUAAUUAUUAGAUAAAUGCAAAUCAAAACCAAAUGAGAUACCAUCUUACAUCAUUCAGGAUGGUGAUUAUUAAAAAGUCAAAAAAUGACAGAUGCUGAUGAGGAUGUGAAGAAAAAGGAACACUUUAAUACUGUUGGUGGGAGUGUAAAUUAGUUCAACCAUUGUGGAAAACAGUCUGGUGAUUCUUCAAAGACAAAGAGGCAGAAAUACCAUUCUACCCAGCAAUCUCAUUACUGGUUAUAUACUCAAAGGAAUAUAAAUCAUUUUCUUAUAAAGACACAUGCACAUAUAUGUUUAUUGCAGCACUAUUCACAAUAGCAGACAUAGAAUCAACCUAAAUGCCUAUCAGUGAUAGAUUGGAUAAAGAAAAUGUACAUAUACAACAUGGAAUACUAUGCAGGCAUAAAAAGGAAUCAGGUCAUGUGCUUCGCAGGGACAUGGAUGGAGCUGGAGGCCAUCAUCCUUAGCAAACUUACACAGGAACAGAAAACCAAAUACUGCAUGUUCUCACUUACAAGUGGGAGCAAAAUGAUGAGAAUACAUGGACACAUGGCGGGGAACAACACACACUAGGGUGUGUUGGAGAGUAGGGAGAGGAUCAGGAAGAAUAACUAUUGGAUAAUGGGCUUAAUACCUGGGUGAUAGGAUGAUCUGUGUAGCAAACCACCAUGGCACACAUUUACCUAUGUAACAAACCUGCAUAUCCUGCACAUGUAUCCCUGAACUUAAAAUAAAAGUUGGAAAUAAAAAAAAAAGAGUGAUUAUGUCAGGGACUAGGUGGUAGCUGUGGAGAUGAUGAAAAGUGGUCAGAGUCUAGAUGCAUUUUGAGGGUGGGCUUGAUUGGCUGGUGGAUUAGAUGUGAAGGAUGAGAGAAGAAAAAGGUACUAGGAUGACUCUAGAGUUUUUGCCUUGAACAAGAAAAAAGGAUGAAUGCCAUUUACCAAGAUUAUAGAAAAUAGCCAGUCUGUUUAUUCUUACACUAUCAAUUGACACAACUUCCAGUUAAUAAGUUCACUUUAUUUUCUGAAAGUUACAGGAGAAGACUUUACUGGUUAUGACCUUAUACUGCUUUAAUGGUCAUCUGUAGCCAAAAUCAUGGACAUAAAUUCUGAGGAGGGUUCCUGGUAAGCCUCCC
rnacentral:lncRNA from 1 species